GAAUCUACCUGGUAGUGGGGGACAACUUGGGGAAACUCAAGCUAAUACCGCAUACGCCCUAAGGGGGAAAGCGGGGGACCUUCGGGCCUCGCGCUAUCGGAUGAGCCUGCGUAGGAUUAGCUAGUUGGUGGGGUAAAGGCCCACCAAGGCGACGAUCCUUAGCUGGUCUGAGAGGAUGAUCAGCCACACUGGAACUGAGACACGGUCCAGACUCCUACGGGAGGCAGCAGUGGGGAAUAUUGCGCAAUGGGCGAAAGCCUGACGCAGCCAUGCCGCGUGUGUGAAGAAGGCCUUAGGGUUGUAAAGCACUUUCAAUUGGGAAGAAAAGUUUGUCGUUAAUAGCGCCAAGCUCUGACAUUACCUUUAGAAGAAGCACCGGCUAACUCCGUGCCAGCAGCCGCGGUAAUACGGAGGGUGCGAGCGUUAAUCGGAAUUACUGGGCGUAAAGCGCGCGUAGGCGGUUUGUUAAGUCAGCUGUGAAAGCCCCGGGCUCAACCUG
rnacentral:rRNA from 1 species